AAGUCCAUAUGUGGACAUUUCUGAAACAAAUCUUUAAACCUUUUCCAAUCUUCAUACAAUGAUUCACCAUUCAAUUGAUUAAAACUAGUUAUAUCCAUUAGAAGUUU